GAUAGUAGCUCAAUUGAAGCACAUCUGCUUUGCAUGCAGAAGGUCCCAGGUUCACUCCCUGGCAGGAUUG